rnacentral:rRNA from 1 species
UACGGAGGGUGCAAGCGUUAUCCGGAUUUACUGGGUUUAAAGGGUGCGUAGGUGGGUAUGGUAAGUCAGUGGUGAAAUCUUCGAGCUUAACUCGGAAACUGCCAUUGAUACUAUUUAUCUUGAAUACUCUGGAGGUAAGCGGAAUAUGUCAUGAGCGGUGAAAUGCUUAGAUAUGACAUAGAACACCAAUUGCGAAGGCAGCUUACUACAUAAGUUUAUUGGACACUGAGGCACGAAAGCGUGGGGAGCAAACGGAUAGAUAC